rnacentral:tRNA from 1 species
GGAGGCAUGGCGCCGCUUCACCGGGCAUGGUCUUGAAAACUGUCGUGGCGGCAACGCCACCGUGGGUUCAAAUCCCACAGCCUCCGC